GAUGAACGCUAGCUACAGGCUUAACACAUGCAAGUCGAGGGGCAGCAUGUUGUGUGCUUGCACACAAUGAUGGCGACCGGCGCACGGGUGAGUAACGCGUAUCCAACCUUCCCAUGACUCCGGUUCAGCCCGCCGAAAGGCGGAUUACUCCCGGAUGGUUUCCGAAGAGGGCAUCUGAUUUGGAAUAAAGAUUUAUCGGUCAUGGAUGGGGAUGCGUCUGAUUAGGCAGCAGGCGGGGUAACGGCCCACCUGGCCGACGAUCAGUAGGGGUUCUGAGAGGAAGGUCCCCCACACUGGAACUGAGACACGGUCCAGACUCC
rnacentral:rRNA from 1 species